rnacentral:rRNA from 1 species
UACGUAGGUGGCAAGCGUUAUCCGGAUUUACUGGGUGUAAAGGGCGCGCAGGCGGUCUUGCAAGUCAGAUGUGAAAGAUCAAGGCUUAACUUUGACAGGUCAUCUGAAACUGCGGGACUUGAGUAUCAGAGGGGAAAGUGGAAUUCCUGGUGGAGCGGUAAAAUGCGCAGAGAUCAGGAGGAACACCGGUGGCGAAGGCGACUUUCUGGCUGACAACUGACGCUGAGGCGCGAAAGCGUGGGGAGCAAACAGGAUUAGAUACC